GGGCUGCUCCCGCCGCCGGGAUCCCUCUUUGACAGCUCGCCGCUCCGUCGGGCCCCGCCGCCCUGCCCGGCUCCCGCCGCCUCCCCAUAGGCGCCGCACCCCCACGUGAGCCCUCCCGCAGCCCUCCGGGGCGGGGCGGGACCCAUAAGAGGCCACCGGGGUGGCCCCGGCCUCACAGAACCGUUUUCCCCCGUUUUCGCCCCGCUGGACAAAUACCUCUGACCCCGCUCGGUGAGCCCCGUGAUGGAGCUCCGGCGUGCGGGGUGGCCCCAAAACCCACCGCGUGCCCCCCCCUUUUGCACACGGACUGCUCAUCCCUUCCAGGGCAGAGAAACAUUCGGGGGUGGCAAACGACUUCUGGGGGGCUUGGCUUCGGGGUGAGGUCGGGGCUUCUCGGACGGGGAUGUGGAGCGGGGAGUGGGAACUGCGGGGGGACCCCACGCAGCAGAGGAGCGCCAUGAGCUCUCCGUGCCCCCUGCCCGAGGGAUGCGGCCGUGGGGGACCACAAUGCUAUCGGCAGAGAGAGCGAUAGGCGGCGGAUUGUUUGCCGAAAGGGGAAAUUUUGGAGCCUUCCCCGCGGUUCGGGCUGCAAUGUGUUGACCCUCGGAGAUAAUGCGCUCCAAGUUGGUGCCGGUUGACUUGGUGACGAGGCUAUGGGAGGCGGAGAGCUACCGAAAGGGACAAAGAUCAUUUCCCUGCCUCCCUGCGCUCGGCCCUCAGGCCGCUUUCUCCGGCUCAGAGGCAGGCAAGCUUUCUCCUUUGACCGGCCUUCCUCCUCCUCCUCUCACCCCCCUCUCCCACAGCUCCGUGCCCGGUUCCGGGCGCUCCGUGCCGGUCUUUGAGCACAGCCGUCGGGGCGCGCACCGGACGCUCCCUCUCCGAGGGCUCGGCCGGCCCGGCCCGGCUCGGUGGAGGUGAUCCAUCCGUGGGCAGGAGAGGAAGGAGGUUCCCCGGUACCCGGCUCAGAAGCCGGGAUCAUAAAAGCGCCCAGUCCAUUACAUGGAAAAUGAGUUUCCGCUAUGAAUGCAUUUGGGCCCCCCAUCUCUCAGAAAGCACACCGUGCCUUUGAUUCAAUAUUGAGCCAUUAAGCAAUUGCUUUCCCAAGCCAUUUAACAGCAGCCCUUAUGGAUAAAUAAACAAAAAAGGCUGUAAACCAAUUAUAGUGCGGAUUGUGAAAAAGUAUUUUAUUAGUGGGAAUUACUGAUAGGCAUCGCUGCUCCUCCGGCUCCCCCCCAACCCGGAGCCCUCCCCCACAUCCCCUGACAUGUUGGGCUGGGGUACGCACCAUGCCCGGGACACAGCCCACCCCCACCGAGAGGAUGUGUUCCCUGGGAGUGGGCUUGAGGUGUCCUUUGGUCCCUCUGGAGACUUCUCACACACCCUCCCCUCGGCUGGAAGCUGGGGGGUUGGAAGCCCCCGGAGCUCAGUGCUGAAUGUGGGGCUCGGCCUGUCUGCCCCAUGGGGAAUCACCGUGGGGUGGGGAUAUGUGGCGGGCAGGGCAUGACGGAGCCCAUCCCGGGUGGGGGUAUGGGGCGGCUGGGGGCUCCCCACAGCUCCAUCCUCAUCCCGAUGGGGAGCCCGGCUCCACACUGCUCCCCACAGCAUUUACAGCCCCACGUUUUCCACGGGGAACCGGAGAGGACAAACAAACGCGUGGCCAUAAAAACCAGAGCAAAUUGAUUCAUCUCCAGGACUCCUGCACAUCUAUUGGCAUCUCCCAGCAGGAAGCUGCCCAACAGCCCAGGCCCAAGGCUUUGGCAGGCUUGUGUGGUGAUGAGGAUAUUGGCCAUCCUGUCUAUAAGUAAUUGUGCAAAUAAAAGAUUGCUGGUAAAAGGA